CCCAUUUGGGAUGUCUGGUCGUACAAGAACACAGGGGGCGACACAGGCUCCCCACCAAACCCUUGUGCAUGUCAAACUUGAUCAAAUUGAGGGUUCAAAUCAGUCCCAAAUCGAAAUCCAAGCUCGUAUUCAUGAACACCAAGUUGAAAGGAUCACAAGUUUGACGCGUAACAAGCUAGGUGGAAGCUUGGAGUGAAAGCGGGUCAAACAAGUCAAGCAUGGAAGAAAAGCGUAGCUCGGAUGCAAGGUAAGUGAAACUUACAUAAUUGUGUAGAUUACUUGUUCAUUCUAUACGUUAUAGAUGCAAUAAUGCUAAUAUUGAAAAUAUGGAUUUCCGACGUGAUUGAUACGAGUCGGAACAUAUAAAGAUGAUAAAAACCAUGUUUAUGGCAAAAAGGGGAUUCGGUAAUGAAAUCCGGGACGGGAUGGAUGUAUGAAUUAGAAGUCAAAAACCAUGUUUUUGAUUUAGUAGGCAACGUUGGGCAUAUAGGCCGAACGGGUCAAAUGGUGGUGAUAACACUAUUUGACAAUAUCGACUAAUGCGAUUGUCAAGUCUUGUGUUAACAG